rnacentral:snRNA from 1 species
AUACUUACCUGGAAGGGGAGACACCAUAAUCACCCAGGUGGUUUUCCCAGAGUGAGGCUUGCCCCUUGCACUCUGGGCAUGCUGACCCCUGCGAUUUCCCUAAAUGCUGGAAACUCAACUGCAUCUUC